GGGCGGGUAGCUCAAUUGGGAGAGCGCAGCCCUUACAAGGCUGAGGUCACAGGUUCGAUCCCUGUUCCGCCUA
rfam:Nitrospirae bacterium GWA2_42_11 gwa2_scaffold_31548, whole genome shotgun sequence.